UAAUCUUUAACACCGCUCGUUUAUAAGCUGAACGAAUUAUUUUAUACUCUGCUCCUUUGGUCCAUCCCAAGUUUGAGGACUAGUAUAACAUUCCAUACACAUUUUAGCUUCAACAGGCGCUUUAUAAUAAGAACUGACUUUGAGCACCACCAGAUAAAGUACAAUCCAAUCUAGAUUGUAGAGCCUAAAACUCAUGACAAAAUAAAUUUGUCCCACCACCCCGUAUUACCGAGUUUCAUUUCAAAUGCAACGUUCUAAUUCACAUAUAUAUACAUAAUACAAGUCAACAACUUCAUUUUGUCGAUUAAUUUACAGGUAUUUCCUUUCUUUAAUUUUUAGUUCUUUGUAAGUUUCAUACUAUUGCAUUAGCUGUGAAUAAUGAUACUUCUCAUAAGUAGAAAACUACUGGGU
rnacentral:lncRNA from 1 species